rnacentral:rRNA from 1 species
GAACGGGUGAGUAAUGUAUGUCUAAUCUACCUUGAUGUGUGGAAUAACUAUUGGAAACGAUAGCUAAUACCGCAUAGUAUCACCGGAGGCAUCUCUGGUGGUUUAAAGACGCGUUUGCGUCGCUUCAAGAUGAGGACAUAUCGCAUUAGCUAGUUGGUAGUGUAAUGGACUACCAAGGCGAUGAUGCGUAGCCGAACUGAGAGGUUGAUCGGCCACAAUGGGACUGAGACACGGCCCAUACUCC